GCGCCAUGUCAGCUCUGCUAAGCGGUAACAUGAUGUAUAGAGUCUGACACCUAUCCGGUUAUGGAAGGUUGAAAGGAGAAUUGUGACAAGCUCUGAAUGGAAGCCCCGGUAAAGGGCGACCGUAACUCUAACUGUCCUAAGGUAGUGAAAUCCUUUGUCACAUAAGUAGCGACCUGCACGAAUGGUGUAACGAU
rfam:Triticum urartu cultivar G1812 contig901708, whole genome shotgun sequence.